rnacentral:lncRNA from 1 species
ACUGUAACCAAAGAAUAAAGUAGCAAUAUAAAAUGUACUUAGUACAAGAUAGAUAAUGUCAAAUCAAAUAAUUUGUUCUCAUGUAAAACUCAAAUAUAACUAAAUCAUAAAAGAUAGUAACUUCAACGUGUAAGUACAUUAAGAUCACUCCUAAUUCGAAUUAAUUUCCUUAACUUCUAGACUAAAUCUUAUAAAACCAGCUCUCCACAGGUUAAGCUUUUCAUUGCCAGUAAUUGACAUGUAUCACUUCCUUCAAAAAUGCUGCACAAGAAGUCAUAAAAAAAAGAAUUAUAACUUUUUAAUAAAGUGAAUUAUUUCCUUCUCUAAAACAAUUGGAAUACCAAAAAUAAUAACUGAUUGAGGUUCUAAAAGAGAAACAAAUUGAUAAUGAAUGUAAUACUAGCAGCUGAAGAGAGAAAGAAACAACAACAUAAAGCAAAAAAUCCAACAAAGUAAACGUAACCGCCCAAACCCAACAACAACGGAAAUAAUCUAAUAUCAUAAUGAGAAGGGUUGAAUUUUGAAAUAUUAGUUUCCGUAAAUGGUAUAGUGAGUUGAAAACUAAUGAAUGUUAUAUAAGUUUUGUAAACUAUAACAUGAAGAGUGGGUUGCUCUAGUGGUGAGCGCCCUCCACUUCCAACCAAGAGGUUGUGAGUUCGAGUCACCCCAAGAGUAAGGUGGGGAGUUCUUGGAGGGAGGGAGCCGAGGGUCUAUCGAAAACAGCCUCUCUUCCCUAGGGUAGGGGUAAGGUCUGUGUACAAACUACCCUCCCUAUACCCCACUAGCGGAUUAUACUGGGUUGUUGUUGUUGUUGUUGUAAACUAUAACAUGAAGGGUUUCUCCCUUUGAAAAGGAAGAACAAGAAUCUUAUAAUUUUUUCAAACUUACCCGCUUCUUUUUCUUUGUGCCAACUUCACUAACUCCGGUCUUCUUGAUUAUGUUAACCUGAGAAAAAAUAUAAGAUUGGUAUAGUUUAGAAAAUUAUGAAUACAAGAUAUAAAGAACAGGACAAAGUCAAAUAAUAAUUUUUAUUUCCUAAUAUGAUGGCGUUUCAAUCAUAGAUCUUUAUUUCCCUGAUCUAGGCAAGAGUCUUUAACUUACUCUUUCUUCCAGGUUCUACAAGAGUACAAAUACCUUAUGUAGGAGGGUAAAAUCAUGCUUGAUGGGAAUCUUAUCAACAUACUGGAACUUAACUACUAAUAAAAAUUUCUCAAUCAAAACCCUUUAUAAUAUGUUUCAUAUUAGUAAUGACAUCUCCAAAAUCACUCAAGAUACUUCUAUUAAUUGCAUUUGGAAGAUAAGGUCGCUAAAUAAGAUAAAGUAAAUUUGACUUCUAUGCCAAGUAAAACUGCCCACUAAUUAUCUCUUAAGUAAGGGAUCAAUUUAGCUAGCUGAAAUGAACCAUACAUCAGAAUAUACCCUUCAAAUUAUUUUACACUCAAGCAGCACAUAAUAGCCACAUAUCCCAAAAAAAAAGAAAAAAGGCAGACAUUAGAAUUCUGAACCUUAUAAGAAAUAUGCAAGAGAAGAAACCAAAUAACUUAUAAAUCAAACAUCAUAUGAUGUUAAAAAAUAAUCCAACCUUCUAUGUCAAUAAAGAACAAUUGAAUCAAAUAUAUGAGCAAAAAUAAACUUGUAAAAACUUACGGUGUGACCUAUUUUAUACGACCAAUCAGCCGCACUCCAACCACAAACAUAAGAAAAUAACUUUUACAUAAUCCAAUACAACAUUUUCUUAAUCCUUAAGCCCUUGGUAAAGUAAUUUUUCUUUUUCAUGGCAAAGAUAAAUCAAAUUGUGCAACUAAAUGUGGCAAACAUAAACCGCCUUUUAGAUUUGAUUGUCGCAUUAACUUCUUUAGGUCACAGGAUUACAUGGAAUUGUCCUAAAGAAAGCUCCCUAUCAAUAAAAGUUACUUGAAAGAGGGAGACUAACCCAUGUCCCUACAAAAGACCACCGAGUCAAUAUGCUAGAGAUAAUUCAGUUGAGAAGAAGGGGAAAAUGGUGUGGAAUUGGCUAGAGAGAAACAAUGAAGAUGAUAACCCAGGCUAUUAAAACUAAUCCACUCUGACUUCCCCUGCUGGCUUAGGGCCGACUGCUAGCCUCUAUGAUCAUCACAGCGCCACAAACGUUAGCCACUAUUACUGACCACCCACGUUUAUUACAGCUUGAAUUUCAAUCAAAUGCACAUAUGCAAGAAAAGGAGAAAUACUCGGUCACUGCAAAGUUUUUACCAAUAACUUAAACCGACUAUGUGUGCUUAAACAAAGCAUUGUUCUUUUGAAAUUAUCGGAGCCCAUCUGGUUAAAGUGCAACUAGCACAAUUACACCCUUAGGCAAUAACUCCAAUAUAAUGUAGACACAUAAAAGAUUAUAAUUAACAUUUUCCCAAAAUAGCACAAGCUACAAAUCCAAGAUUCUUUAAAAUGGGAAUGCAACUAUCCCUGAAACCCAUGUGAGGUACAUACCCAAAAAACAUAUACAUAACUUUCUUAAGUUAAAAUUAGACACGAAUAGAAAGUAAAAUCAAUAAACUAAGGCUGCAACCAUAGUAACAUCAAUUCGUAAUUUAUAGUUAAAAAGAUAUAGUUAAAAUGAGUUUAUGAACUCACCUUCUUUGUGUGAACAACUGAAACAUGUGAUAGUGAUUGUUGGUGAUCGUCCAUUGAGUUAUCAUAAACCUAUCACAAACUAGUGAAUCUUACAAACUAGUUCACUCCAUUGCCACAAUAUAUAAUAUUUUAUCAUGACUAAGCAAAAUCAAACUAUAGAAUACCAUAAUUAACAUCUUGAGUAAAUAUAACUUUUAAAAAAUAAGUAUCAAAUUGAUGUUCGAUUGAACUUUAUUUAGCACUAUUUUAGAUUGAACUAGUAAAUGACAUCAUACUAAUCCAAUCUUUUCAAAUAGUACCAUUAUUUCUAUACAUAAAGUUUAAGUAUUACAAACAUACUUUGCAAGCAAACUUAAAUAGCCUAAACAACUAGGAAAGAAGAAACCUAGUAAGUAUUUUUAGAACACAAAAAUCUUAUAUUAGAGAUAUGAAUAAAGCAAAAUAAAUUAAAGAACUGCCCCAAAUAAAUGAACUUUCUUCCAUCCAUCAAUUCGUCAAACUAUGUCUCAUCCCCAAAUAAGUUAGAGUUGCCUAUAAAAAUCUAGGUCUAUUGUGUUCGUUAUUAUUUAUCUGUUCUUUUAUAUUUAAAUCAAUAUACUAUUUCUAUGUUGGUCAAACAACCUACGGGAAUCUCUUCCUUUAUCAGGUUAAAAAGAUUAACAUUCUUCAAAAAAAAAUCUGAACAACUAAGAAAAAGAAAGAAAAUGUUUAACCCAAAUCCGAACAAUUAAGAAAAAGAAAGAAAUCUGUUAACCCAAAUCCAAAUAACUAAGGAAAAAAAAGAAAUCUGUUAACUAAACUGGUACCUUGACUUUGUAGAAAAUAAGCUUUGUGAAUCUCAGCAGCAAAAACCUCGGUGAUAAAACUUUUUUCUACUCCAAGUAUCUAUUAUAGCACAGCCAAUUGUAAAAAAUUAGGUUUUUUGAAGAAUUAUAACUAAGGAAGGAAACUGUAUUUUUUAGAAUUGGGAGGAGGUAAGCAAGAUUCUUACCGCCAAAAUUUUUUCCUUCUGAAUCUCCAAUACUCUCCAUACAUAACUCCUUGUAGAAAUUCUGGCCAAACCCAAUUUGAGAUUUUGAGCCAAACCCGAUUCCAGAUUUAGAUCGAGAAAGGAGCGGAUAGGUACUGAGGACUUCUAAGGCUUGGAGUACGGCUAAUUUCACUUAUGUUUUAA